UACGGGGGGGGUAAGCGUUGUUCGGAAUUACUAGGCGUAAAGGGCUCGUAGGCGGCCAACUAAGUCAGACGUGAAAUCCCUCAGCUUAACUGGGGAACUGCGUCUGAUACUGGAUGGCUUGGAUUCGGGAGAGGAAUGCGGAAUUCCAGGUGUAGCGGUGAAAUGCGUAGAUAUCUGGAGGAACACCGGUGGCGAAGGCGGCAUUCUGGACCGACAUUGACGCUGAGGAGCGAAAGCCAGGGGAGCAAACGGG
rnacentral:rRNA from 1 species